ACAAAUGCAUAUAUUUGAACACAUGAAUAAAGUCGGUUCAUCAAUUGGCGAUCACUCUAAAAGGGUAAAUAAUUCAGAGAUCUUAGUAAGUGGAGUUUUCCAAUCUCUAGUGGAACAGACUGGAGCUGAAUCGGCUAUUAUGCUUUACAAAAUGGCGGAAGAGAGCUAUGCAAAACUACAAGCAAAGAAGAAUGCAUAGAAGCUAUCGAAUAAAAUAGUCUACCUCUUAAGCACAGUGUUUGUACUUAUUACUUGAGCGUUUUCUACUUAUAAACAUGUUUUAUUUUUACGAUAUAUCAAGAAGAGUAUUUAGUAAAUUCAUGAUUUUUGUUAUUUUUGCUAAAGGUACUUACUUUUGAGUUUUUCCGAAAUAUAUAAUAGAGUUUCGUACUUACACACAAACUCUAUUUUAGAAAAACGGUGGUUAAACGACAUAAUUGAAGGUUCUAGAAGUUUCUACUAGUAAGACUGGUAAGUGGUAGCUUGGGUUGCACUUGAUUUUAUUGAUGGUGACUCCAGGUCCCAUAACCCAGAAUAAGAUGAUAUGGUAUUCAAUUCUCGAACAUGUACCUAUUCGUUUGUUUCCCCCUUAUAUACUUAAAAGUGUAUAGUACUUAAAAGUCCAGAUUCUUAGAUUUUUGGAAGGUGGUCCCUUGAUCAAACAAACAUGACGGGAAUUCUUGGAAUUUUAUAGACAUAUUUAAAGCGAUUUAGUGGUAAAACUAAUGAUACUUACGCCAGUAGGCAAUGGUUAGUGCAUUGUAUAGCUAUAGGCGAUUAAUUUUUUAAAGAAUUUUGUAUUAUUAAACUAAGUUAUGAAGAACUUGAUUUCUUAGCGUCUAGACGAAUAGUGAUUUUUGUACUUAUUUAUUUUUCUAGUUUAUAUUGUUAAUUAAAUAUAUUUUGUGAUUAUUCAUUUUUA